UACAGAGGGUGCAAGCGUUAAUCGGAAUUACUGGGCGUAAAGCGUGCGUAGACGGUUAUUUAAGUCAGGUGUGAAAGCCCCGGGCUCAACCUGGGAAUGGCAAUGGAUACUGGCAAGCUAGAGUGCGGUAGAGGGUAGUGGAAUUCCCGGUGUAGCGGUGAAAUGCGUAGAGAUCGGGAGGAACACCAGUGGCGAAGGCGGCUACCUGGACCAGCACUGACACUGAGGCACGAAAGCGUGGGGAGCAAACAGG
rnacentral:rRNA from 1 species